rnacentral:rRNA from 1 species
GACGAACGCUGGCGGCGUGCUUAACACAUGCAAGUCGAACGGAAAGGCCCUGCUUUUGUGGGGUGCUCGAGUGGCGAACGGGUGAGUAACACGUGAGUAACCUGCCCUUGACUUUGGGAUAACUUCAGGAAACUGGGGCUAAUACCGGAUAGGAGCUCCUGCUGCAUGGUGGGGGUUGGAAAGUUUCGGCGGUUGGGGAUGGACUCGCGGCUUAUCAGCUUGUUGGUGGGGUAGUGGCUGACCAAGGCUUUGACGGGUAGCCGGCCUGAGAGGGUGACCGGCCACAUUGGGACUGAGGUACGGCCCAGACUCCUACGGGAGGCAGCAGUGGGGAAUAUUGCACAGUGGGCGGAAGCCUGAUGCAGCAACGCCGCGUGCGGGAUGACGGCCUUCGGGUUGUAAACCGCUUUCGCCUGUGACGAAGCGUGAGUGACGGUAAUGGGUAAAGAAGCACCGGCUAACUACGUG